AACGAACGCUGGCGGCAUGCUUAACACAUGCAAGUUGAACGCAGGAUAAGCCUUCGGGUUUAUUGCUGAGUAGCAAACGGGUGAGUAACGCGUGGGAAUCUGCCUUUAUGUGGGGGAUAACUAAGGGAAACUUUAGCUAAUACCGCAUACGAUCUACGGAGGAAAGACUUAGGUCGCAUAAAGAGGAGCCCGCGUCAGAUUAGGUAGUUGGUAGGGUAAAGGCCUACCAAGCCAAUGAUCUGUAGCUGGUCUGAGAGGAUGAUCAGCCACACUGGGACUGAGACGCGGCCCAGACUCCUACGGGAGGCAGCAGUGGGGAAUAUUGGACAAUGGGGGAAACCCUGAUCCAGCAAUGCCGCGUGAAUGAUGAAGGCCUUAGGGUUGUAAAGUUCUUUCACCUGUGAAGAUAAUGACGGUAGCAGAAGAAGAAGCCCCGGCAAACUCCGUGCCAGCAGCCGCCGUAA
rnacentral:rRNA from 1 species